ACGGGGUGCAGCAGGCGCGAAAACUUUGCAAUGUGCGAAAGCACGACAAGGUUAAUCCGAGUGGUUUCUGCUAAAGAAACCUUUUGUCAGUCCUAGAAACACUGAUGAAUAAGGGGUGGGCAAGUUCUGGUGUCAGCCGCCGCGGUAAAACCAGCACCUCAAGUGGUCAGGAUGAUUAUUGGGCCUAAAGCAUCCGUAGCUCGUUUUGUAAGUUUUCGGUUAAAUCCAUGCGCUUAACGUAUGGGCUGCCGGGAAUACUGCAUAACUAGGAAGUGGGAGAGGUAGACGGUACUCGGUAGGAAGGGGUAAAAUCCUUUGAUCUAUUGAUGACCACCUGUGGCGAAGGCGGUCUACCAGAACACGUUCGACGGUGAGGGAUGAAAGCUGGGGGAGCAAACCGGAUUAGAUACCCGGGUAGUCCCAGCUGUAAACUAUGCAAACUCAGUGAUGCAUUGGCUUGUGGCCAAUGCAGUGCUGCAGGGAAGCCGUUAAGUUUGCCGCCUGGGGAGUACGUACGCAAGUAUGAAACUUAAAGGAAUUGGCGGGGGAGCAC
rnacentral:rRNA from 2 species